rnacentral:rRNA from 1 species
AUUGAACGCUGGCGGCAGGCCUAACACAUGCAAGUCGAACGGUAACAGGAAACAGCUUGCUGUUUCGCUGACGAGUGGCGGACGGGUGAGUAAUGUCUGGGAAACUGCCUGAUGGAGGGGGAUAACUACUGGAAACGGUAGCUAAUACCGCAUAACGUCGCAAGACCAAAGAGGGGGACCUUCGGGCCUCUUGCCAUCGGAUGUGCCCAGAUGGGAUUAGCUUGUUGGUGGGGUAACGGCUCACCAAGGCGACGAUCCCUAGCUGGUCUGAGAGGAUGACCAGCCACACUGGAACUGAGACACGGUCCAGACUCCUACGGGGGGCAGCAGCGGGGAAUAUUGCACAAUGGGCGCAAGCCUGAUGCAGCCAUGCCGCGUGUAUGAAGAAGGCCUUCGGGUUGUAAAGUACUUUCAGCGGGGAGGAAGGGAGUAAAGUUAAUACCUUUACUCAUUGACGUUACCCGCAGAAGAAGCACCGGCUAACUCCGUGCCAGCCGCCGCCGUAA